UACGGAGGGUGCAAGCGUUGCUCGGAAUUAUUGGGCGUAAAGGGUAGGUAGGUGGUCUCAUUUGUCUGGGGUGAAAGCCUUGAGCUUAACUCAAGAAGUGCCCCAGAAACGGUGAGACUAGAGUCCUGGAGAGGGUCGUGGAAUUCCCGGUGGUAGCGGUGAAAUGCGUAGAGAUCGGGAGGAACACCAGAGCGAAGGCGGCGACCUGGACAGGUAUUGAGCGUGAGUGAGCGAAAGCCAGGG
rnacentral:rRNA from 1 species